rnacentral:rRNA from 1 species
GACAGAGGGGGCGAGCGUUGUCCGGGGCCACUGGGCGUAAAGCGCGCGCAGGCGGCAACCUAAGUGUCGUGUGAAAGCCCCCGGCUCAACCGGGGGAGGCCAUGGCAAACUGGGUCGCUCGAGCUGCGGAGAGGCCCCUCGAAUUGCCGGUGUAGCGGUGAAAUGCGUAGAGAUCGGCAGGAAGACCAAGGGGGAAACCAGGGGGCUGGCCGCAGGCUGACGCUGAGGCGCGACAGCGUGGGGAGCAAACCGG